AAUACGUUCCCGGGUCUUGUACACACCGCCCGUCAUACCACGAAAGUCAGUAACACCCGAAGUCGUGCUUCGAGUACGCCGAAGGUGAGAUUGAUGAUUGGGGUA
rnacentral:rRNA from 1 species